rnacentral:rRNA from 1 species
AAUCCACACGACUCUCGGCAACGGAUAUCUUGGCUCUCGCAUCGAUGAAGAACGUAGCGAAAUGCGAUACCUGGUGUGAAUUGCAGAAUCCCGCGAACCAUCGAGUCUUUGAACGCAAGUUGCGCCCGAGGUCUUUCGGCUGAGGGCACGCCUGCCUGGGCGUCACGC